rnacentral:lncRNA from 1 species
GGACCCUACGGAAUCCCCCCAAUCUGUGUGUUGUGCUUUCCUUAACGACUGCCUUGGAACAAGCCGCGGGGAGAAGAGGAGAUCCUAGAGGGACUGAUCCAGCGAGUGAGUGUGUAGGACGGUCGCUCUUCCAGUGCCAGGAGUGGCGGAUGUUCCUCGAACCUGGAAGAGGACUUUGCCGGCGUCCUUUCCUGGCCUCUGCGGGAAUGCAGGGCGCCCCCUCGCUGUCACCGUCACCCACUUUAUACGGCGCCUCCCUGGCUGGACCUACACUCUCCGCCGCUCGGCUCGUUCACACCAGGAGAGCCGUCCAGCCGAUACAGGCCCAUUGUCGGUGCCUGCCACGGUUUGGGGUGCGAGCAGGAGGCCCCAUGGGAGCGGUCUGCGGGGGUCCAGGCUGGAGGGUGCUCCUGCGAGUCCUGCCCCUGCUCUUCUUGCUGCAGCCCCUUCCUGGGGUCAGCUCGAGGGAAGGGGACGCAGGGGGAAGCCAGCCCGCUGACUGCUGUGGCCAGAGCCCGGACCCAGUGACACCGGGAAGGACCUGGGUCCCGAGGGCCCAGGGAUCCCCGAAAGGCUUUUCGGGUGAUCUGGAGAGAGGUCUGCGCUAAUCCCGCACCUUUUAGGAGCACUGAGAAGGUGAGCCGUCCUCCGGGUCCACUGACACGUGGGAAAGAAGACGCAGGACUGGAGCAUCCACCCCCGCUGGUGUCCUGGGACGAGGUAUUCCUGAGAGCCAGCCACCUCCGUACGUGGGGACCUCGGGCUUUGCUUCCAGAAACCGCAUGUGUGUCCCCUUACUAAGGCUGGACUAGCUGGAUGUAGGAGCAAAUGCAUCUGUGCCUGGCCAUUGGAACGGCUGCCGGAGGUGGGGCGGUGGAGGGCGGCACAGGCGGUCUCCCGGGUGUGAGGCAGUGUCUGAGCACGCUGUGGUGGGUGAACAGUGCGCGGUGGCCCAGGACAGAGCUGCCCAUGCGUGCGUGACCCUCUUCUGCUAAGGACAAGCUCAGACUGUGAGUGGAUGGCGCAGUCGGCCCGGAUCGUGCGUUUCUUGUCCUGAUGUGAAGGGGCCAGUUCUGCAGAUGCUCUCGGAACCUCUGCACCCCUGGCAGAGAUUAUCCUGCAGCUCAGCUUCCAGUGCUCCUAGUGGGGGCCCCCAAUGCUCCUCACAUGGGGCCCGCAGUGCUCCUGGUGGGGGUUCCCAGUACUUGUCAUGAGGAUCUCCAGUAUUUCCCAUUGGGGGGUCCCCAGUACUCAUCAUGGGUGUCCUCAGUAUUGCCCACAGGGUUCCCCAGUACUGGUCAUGGGGCCCGCAGUCGUGCACACAGUACCUCUAAGGGCAUUUGUGUCUGAAAAUUAACCGUAUCUCAGUCCACCCCGUUCCUGUUGGGAACUCUUCCAGGCUUACCUGCC